GAGUCCGCGUCUCAUUAGCUAGACGGUGGGGUAACGGCCUACCGUGGCAACGAUGAAUAGCAGGCCUGAGAGGGUGGCCUGCCACACUGGGACUGGAACACGGCCCAGACUCCUACGGGAGGCAGCAGUGGGGAAUAUUGCGCAAUGGGCGAAAGUCUGACGCAGCGACGCCGCGUGGAGGAUGAAGGUUUUCGGAUCGUAAACUCCUGUCAAGAGGGAAGAAACCUGUUGAGAAUAAUACUCUCAGCAAUUGACGGUACCUCUAGAGGAAGCACCGGCUAAUUCAGUGCCAGCAGCCGCGGUAAUACUGAAGGUGCAAGCGUUAAUCGGAAUCACUGGGCGUAAAGCGCUCGUAGGUGGCUUUGUAAGCCAGAUGUGAAAGCCCAGGGCUCAACCCUGGAAUUGCAUUUGAUACUGCAUCGCUAGAGUAUAGGAGAGGGAAGUGGAAUUUCUGGUGUAGGAGUGAAAUCCGUAGAGAUCAGAAGGAACACCCGUGGCGAAGGCGACUUCCUGGACUAUUACUGACACUGAGGAGCGAAAGCGUGGGGAGCAAACAGGAUUAGAUACCCUGGUAGUCCACGCCGUAAACGAUGGAUACUAGGUGUCGGAG
rnacentral:rRNA from 1 species